AUACCUAUGGAAACACCACAAGGAGGACCUGAGAGCACCAGCAAGUCUCCCGAAGAGAAUUAUUAUUACACUGAAGAGCAACACGUCUGGUGCGUUCUGGAGAAUGAAACGGCGAGGCAAAAGAGAGAGACUUUAAGCAAGUUCAACGGCUCAAAUUGCGGCUACCUAUCAGUAAGAGCUGUUUGACAGUCGAACGGACUCCCUCUGGAGAUUGUGGUCUCUCCUUCCUUGGAGGUUUUUAAGCAAAAGUUGGAUGGCCAUCUGUCAUGG